rnacentral:rRNA from 1 species
CUUAGUGGCGAACGGGUGAGUAACGCGUGAGGAACCUGCCUUUCAGUGGGGACAACAGUUGGAAACGACUGCUAAUACCGCAUAACAUUCACGGACCGCAUGGCUGUGGAUCAAAGCUUUAUGUGCUGGAAGAUGGCCUCGCGUCUGAUUAGCUAUUGGUGGGGUAACGGCUCACCAAGGCGACGGAUCAGUAGCCGGUCUGAGAGGAUGAACGGCCACAUUGGGACUGAGAUACGGCCCAGACUCCUACGGGAGGCAGCAGUGGGGAAUAUUGGGCAAUGGGGGAAACCCUGACCCAGCAACGCCGCGUGAAGGAAGAAGGCUUUCGGGUUGUAAACUUCUUUUACCAGGGACGAAGAACGUGACGGUACCUGGAGAAAAGCAACGGCUAACUACGUG